AGUGCCCCUGUGGAGCCGGCUUUGUUCUGCCCCGAUGUGGGGGUGAGGGGCAGGAACAAUGGGGCAACGCUGAGAGGGGGGGCAGAAGGAGAGAGGGGUGAUGCAUCUUCAGUUGGAAAAACCCAAACCGUUUUGUUCUGGUCCAGUAAAGCCCUCAGUGUUCCUGCAGUAGAUCCAUUAGAUCCACAGAUCCCUGACUGGGCCCAGCCGGGUUAGCCAGGAACUGUCGCUAACACCUGGCUAACUAACUGAAGUGGUGUCCAUUCUGAUUGGCUGGCACUAGGAAACUUGCUAGGUAGCAUUAGCUUUGGAGACUCAGUUCAACAUGUUCAAUACAGAGCUGAAGUUGGCUUCUGAUUGAGAUUCUUAUUCAGCAUUAGGUGACCAACUUAGCCAGGCUAGUUGUUAGCCUAACUAUGCUAGUUGUUAGCCACUGAGGUAACUUUGUUGGUCCAGUUAUCCUCACACCAGACCAUGAAUCUGAGUGGACUGGCCUCCAGAACCAGAAUGUUUGGACCUCCUGGAAGCUGCUGAACCCUUUAAAUAUGUCCAGGACCCAGUGACUGGUUCUGACCCAGUGUGUUGCUGUGGUUACAGCAGUCCCUAGGCUCCAGCGAAACGAGAGCGGUUCCCUGGAAGUACAAACAUUUUCCAGGUAUCAAUCCUGCUUCAUCCAUGGAGAACGGAUCAGCCCAGUUUGAUGAGCUACUGAUUCACCAGUCGGCCCAGUUUGGCCUCCCAGUUGGGUCGGAGGAGGCAGAGCAGAACCAGAGCUCUGGUUCUUCCCACUAAUGAGUGUGAGCUAAGGGCUAAUUAGGCUGCAACAACACACACACACACAUACACACACACAGGCCUUCAGGGAGACAUGUUUCAUCUUUAAAAUGUCCAUCCUGGUCCAGUGUCUGUCUGUCGGUCUGUACAGAUGAUAGAUGGAUUGUCACCAGGUGUCUACGAGCUCAGAGGCUCUGGUGACAGCAAUGUCUGUGUCUGUGUGUGUGUGUGCGUGUGUGUGUGUGUGUGAUUUAACAGGCCAAACCACAGCAGACAGAAGGGAAGGCAGAUCAGUGAAACAGAGAUGGAGCAUCAAUCUGACACCAACCUGGUCAGGUCACCAUCAAGAGGAAGAGGAGGAGGAAGAGAACAUAUUAGCAGGUGGAAGAAAAUGGAUGGAUGAGGUGCUGCUGUCUCUCCAGCGAGACAUUUCGUGCGACAGGCGGGGUCACCUGGACGGAGCUGUCUCUCUGGACGCGUCCCUCCGUGUCCGUCCCUCCGUGUCCCAUGCUGCUGAUUCAUGCGGCGCUCCGACGCUCAGCCUCUGCUGGAGGAUUUGUCUGCGCUGACUGCUCAUCCUCAGCAGGAAGGAAACCAGAACCACAGAGAACAACAGGCUGCAGCUCAUCACUCACUGGGAAAACAGCGACGAUAAGCUUAGGGUUAUGCUUCUGUAACCCUAAGCUACAGAAACAUAAACUGGAUUAUGUAGCAAUGAGAUCAUAAACUACAGAAGGAGAAAUAAAGUUGGGGUUAAUUACAAUCAUCAAAUCUAAAUGAAGCUAAUCAUAAAUUAAGUUAAUAUGAACCACAGGAAGAUAAACUACAAACACCACACACCACUUGCACUUUACUCUUUACACCUUGCAGCAUCUGCAUUACCUCACAUUUCCUGUAUGUCCACUGAUUGCACUUCUGCUGUAUGUGUGGGAGGGUGGGGGGGUUACUGUCAAUGUCUUAUUUAUGUUUAUAUGUUUAAUUUAAUUGUACAUUGGAGUCUGAUGAAACGCAAUUUCAAACUUCUGUGUUAACCCUGUUACAUAGAUCUUUGAUAAUAAAGUUCACUUGACUUGAAAACAUUUAGCUCAUACAAUUCAUAAUGUAAAGGUGGAAUAAAUGUAGCUAAAGUAAGCAAAGAUAAAUCAGUCUAAAACUAUUGUUGAAGUUAAACAUGUAACCUAAGUUAUGCUAAUGUAGCAAGUGUGUAAAAAUGUUUAUAUUUCACCCCAAGUCCAUCCUCAUUAUCUAUAUUUGUUUUUCUAGGUUUCCGAAUUGUAUUUUAUUUUGGUGGAGAAGCUUUUAUUUUCUUGUUUCCUGUUUCCACGUCACAUCCUGUGUUUUCCCGCUGCCCUCCUCAGUUCGGCCGAGCUGCGCUGGGGAGAGGUUAUCGUACAGAGCUGUCUUCUGUUUGUGUAUUAAAAUAUUCAAAAUGUCCUAAACAGUAUGUUUCCUAAACUCGCAACUUCUUAUAUAUUGUUGUUAAACUGUUUUAUGUUUAGCUCACGACUGUACUAGGUAUUUAAUUCCCACGCUAGUAACAUUUAUCGAGCUUACCGUGCCAACGUGGUUGUUUUUGUUCUUGUGAUUGUUUAAGGUGUGUGUGGGGAAGCCAGAGCCCAAGAACUGCUGUGCUGAAAAUACUUUGGUUUUAAACAGAAUAAACCUGCUGCAAUACACCCAGCGUCCUCAUCUGCUGGUUCCUUUCACCCAUUACACACAACGCAGAGUCAAAUGAAGGCGGCUACACUAAGCUAAGGGACUAAUGAGAAAGUAAGCUACAGAAAUUAAGAUAAGAAAGGAUAUGAUGAACUCAGCUAACCUAAUUUGAUCUAAGGCAGGAGAAAGUAAGCUAAGCUAACUUAGCUAGCAAAGCCAAAGUAGCUAACAUAGUGUGAACCAAAGGAAGAUAAACCGUAAUAUCAGCUAACAGAACCAAAGUUGCUUUUCUUUUCUUGUAUUUUAUUGUUUGUUUCUUUGAAGCCUCGACCAGAUGCUUGUUGAGAAUCUCUGUAAAGAUGUAAUAAUAUCUGCUGUCCUGUUGUCGCUAGGUCUCCUAAAAUAGCUAGCAUGGCUCCCGUUCCAACAGUUCUCCUCCCUGAUCACUGCUGCUGACAUCAGGUCACAUUUAUAAGGUGGCUUCCCUCCUUAACCAAGGAGCAUCUUGGGAGCUCCAGGACUCGCUGAUGUGUGCUUCAGCGCUCAGACCAAUCGUCUUCAUGACGCUGUGAGGGCAGAGGAACAGAGACAUUCACCACCAGACGUCCUGCCUGCUGCUCUGCUCCAUCAUAAUCCCAUUAUGUGCAGCAACAACCUGCCAGCUUCAAUCUGCGUCAUCAUGCCAAUCCCCGCCAUGGGCCGGUCCCUCCUCUCUCAGCCAAUGAGAAGCCUUCCUGCUGAUUAGUGGGCAGUGAUCUCAUUAUGAUGCCCCGCCCACUCUGAGAAGAUAGGAAGGAAGGAUGGAGAGAUGACAAUGAUGGAGAGAUGAAGGAUGGAGAGAUGAAACCUCCUGUAGCCCCGCCUCCGGCAGCAGAUCGUCGCUCCUUCAGCCUCUGAUGGUUGAUGGACUUGGCGUCUUGUGUGGUGAUGUCGGUGGUUUUGGUGAUGCCACUCAUCAAACUGUAAUGUUUGUUCAGUUGUUUCCUUUAUAAUUUUGUAAUUUUCUGUUUUUGUUGUGUAAAGCACAUUGACCCACCUUGCUGCUGAAAUGUGUUGUACAGAUAAACUUCUCCUUCGAAGAUGGCUGCA